rnacentral:rRNA from 1 species
UACGUAGGGGGCAAGCGUUGUCCGGAUUUAUUGGGCGUAAAGAGCGUGUAGGCGGCUUUGCAAGUCCGUUGUGAAAACUCGAGGCUCAACCUCGAGACGCCGGUGGAAACUGCAAAGCUAGAGUCCGGAAGAGGAGAGUGGAAUUCCUGGUGUAGCGGUGAAAUGCGCAGAUAUCAUCAGGAACACCGGUGGCGAAGGCGGCUUUCUGGGUCUUACCUGACGCUGAGGAACGAAAGCUAGGGGAGCGAACGGG